rnacentral:rRNA from 1 species
AUUGAACGCUGGCGGCAGGCCUAACACAUGCAAGUCGAGCGAGCGGCGGAGGGGUGAGUAAUGUAUGGGGAUCUGCCCGAUAGAGGGGGCUAACUACUGGAAACGGUGGCUAAUACCGCAUACUAUCGGAUGAACCCAUGUGGGAUUAGCUAGUAGGUGGGGUAAAGGCUCACCUAGGCGACGAUGUCUAGCUGGGCUGAGAGGAUGAUCAGCCACACUGGGACUGAGACACGGCCCAGACUCCUACGGGAGGCAGCAGUGGGGAAUAUUGCGCAAUGGGCGCAAGCCUGAUGCAGCCAUGCCGCGUGUAUGAAGAAGGCCUUCGGGUUGUAAAGUUCUUUCAUCGGGGAGGCGUUACCCAAAGAGAAAGCCCCGGCUAACUCCGUGCCAGCAGCCGCGGUAAUUC